GCUCUUAUGAUGUAAUGGAUAGCAUCUCAAGCUUCUAACUUGAUCGUCUAGGUUCGAGUCCUAGUAAGAGCG
rnacentral:tRNA from 5 species